rnacentral:rRNA from 1 species
CACGGGUGAGUAACACGUAUCCAACCUGCCGUCUACUCUUGGACAGCCUUCUGAAAGGAAGAUUAAUACAAGAUGGCAUCAUGAGUCCGCAUGUUCACAUGAUUAAAGGUAUUCCGGUAGACGAUGGGGAUGCGUUCCAUUAGAUAGUAGGCGGGGUAACGGCCCACCUAGUCUUCGAUGGGUAGGGGUUCUGAGAGGAAGGUCCCCCACAUUGGAGCUGAGACACGGUCCAAACUCCUACGGGAGGCAGCAUG